GGUAACACUGAAUGGAGGACCGAACCGACUUACGUUGAAAAGUGAGCGGAUGAACUGAGGGUAGCGGAGAAAUUCCAAUCGAACCUGGAGAUAGCUGGUUCUCUCCGAAAUAGCUUUAGGGCUAGCCUCAAGUGAUGAUUAUUGGAGGUAGAGCACUGUUUGGACGAGGGGCCCCUCUCGGGUUACCGAAUUCAGACAAACUCCGAAUGCCAAUUAAUUUAACUUGGGAGUCAGAACAUGGGUGAUAAGGUCCGUGUUCGAAAGGGAAACAGCCCAGACCACCAGCUAAGGUCCCAAAAUAUAUGUUAAGUGGAAAAGGAUGUGGCGUUGCCCAGACAACUAGGAUGUUGGCUUAGAAGCAGCCAUCAUUUAAAGAGUGCGUAAUAGCUCACUAGUCGAGUGACACUGCGCCGAAAAUGUACCGGGGCUAAACAUAUUACCGAAGCUGUGGAUUGUCCUUUGGACAAUGGUAGGAGAGCGUUCUAAGGGCGUUGAAGCAUGAUCGUAAGGACAUGUGGAGCGCUUAGAAGUGAGAAUGCCGGUGUGAGUAGCGAAAGACGGGUGAGAAUCCCGUCCACCGAUUGACUAAGGUUUCCAGAGGAAGGCUCGUCCGCUCUGGGUUAGUCGGGUCCUAAGCUGAGGCCGACAGGCGUAGGCGAUGGAUAACAGGUUGAUAUUCCUGUACCACCUAUAAUCGUUUUAAUCGAUGGGGGGACGCAGUAGGAUAGGCGAAGCGUGCGAUUGGAUUGCACGUCUAAGCAGUAAGGCUGAGUAUUAGGCAAAUCCGGUACUCGUUAAGGCUGAGCUGUGAUGGGGAGAAGACAUUGUGUCUUCGAGUCGUUGAUUUCACACUGCCGAGAAAAGCCUCUAGAUAGAAAAUAGGUGCCCGUACCGCAAACCGACACAGGUAGUCAAGAUGAGAAUUCUAAGGUGAGCGAGCGAACUCUCGUUAAGGAACUCGGCAAAAUGACCCCGUAACUUCGGGAGAAGGGGUGCUCUUUAGGGUUAACGCCCAGAAGAGCCGCAGUGAAUAGGCCCAAGCGACUGUUUAUCAAAAACACAGGUCUCUGCUAAACCGUAAGGUGAUGUAUAGGGGCUGACGCCUGCCCGGUGCUGGAAGGUUAAGAGGAGUGGUUAGCUUCUGCGAAGCUACGAAUCGAAGCCCCAGUAAACGGCGGCCGUAACUAUAACGGUCCUAAGGUAGCGAAAUUCCUUGUCGGGUAAGUUCCGACCCGCACGAAAGGCGUAACGAUUUGGGCACUGUCUCAACGAGAGACUCGGUGAAAUCAUAGUACCUGUGAAGAUGCAGGUUACCCGCGACAGGACGGAAAGACCCCGUGGAGCUUUACUGUAGCCUGAUAUUGAAAUUCGGCACAGCUUGUACAGGAUAGGUAGGAGCCUUUGAAACGUGAGCGCUAGCUUACGUGGAGGCGCUGGUGGGAUACUACCCUAGCUGUGUUGGCUUUCUAACCCGCACCACUUAUCGUGGUGGGAGACAGUGUCAGGCGGGCAGUUUGACUGGGGCGGUCGCCUCCUAAAAGGUAACGG
rnacentral:rRNA from 1 species